rnacentral:rRNA from 1 species
GACGUAGGAGGCGAGCGUUAUCCGGAUUCAUUGGGCGUAAAGAGCACGCAGGCGGUUUGGCAAGUCAGAUGUGAAAACCCGAAGCUCAACUUCGGGCCUGCAUCCGAAACUGCCCGACUAGAGGUAGGUAGGGGAGAUCGGAAUUCCUGGUGUAGCGGUGAAAUGCGCAGAUAUCAGGAGGAACACCGGUGGCGAAGGCGGAUCUCUGGGCCUUACCUGACGCUCAGGUGCGAAAGCUAGGGGAGCGAACAGG